GAGUGUUUAUGGUUGGGUUGAGACACAUUCAGGAGCUGAGUGAUUGACAGCAAGAGGAGCAAGACAUGAGGUUAAUAAUUAUCAAAUAUAUGGCAAUGCUGGACUUUAGCUGAUGAUCGUGCUUCUGGAAAACAACAAAAAUUGAGAUAUCUUUUCACCACUUUGUGUGUCCAAGGACCACCUACUUUUUACAUGUGACAAGAACUACCCACCUCCACUCUUCAGGAUAGAACAUGCUGAAGAAAAGAGUUGCAAUGAGAAAAUAUAUGGGAACAAAAUACCUGUGCAAUGCAGAGGUCUGCAUAACUGAACCACUCAGAGGAAAAAAUUUCCCUCCCAGGCUGGAGUACAAUGGCGCGACCUCGGCUCACUGCAACUUCCAUCUCCCAGGUUCAAGCAAUUCUCCCACCUCAGCCUCCUUACUAGCUGGGAUUACAAGCGCCUGACACCAGGCCCAGCUAUUUUUGUAUUUUUAGUAGAGACGGGGUUUCACCAUUUUGACUAGGCUGGUCUCAAACUCCUGACCUCAGUCCAUCGGUCCACCUCGGCCUCCCAAAGUGCUGGGAUUGCAGGCAUGAGCCACCGCUCCUGGCCUCAAGUUUAAUUCUUAAAUUGCCAUUUCAGGACACCUCCUACAUCUGAAGAAAUAUGCAUUGAUCUUGCAGAACUUUUCUCCUCCAAAUAAAAGUCAGUAUGAUAACAACUACACUAUCAGAAGUCUAAGCCAAAGGACACUUCAGUUAUCCAAUCUUGCAACAAAUACAUUUAAGCACUUAAUAUGGGCUACUGUUGGUACUAGGGGCAUUGAGAACUUCAGAUUUGAUUAACACCCAAGAGCUGCUACCAUAAAAUAAACUAGGCAGCUACUAGGC
rnacentral:lncRNA from 1 species